UCAAGUGUUUAAGGGCAUACGGUGGAUGCCUUGGCAUCAGGAGCCGAUGAAGGACGUGGGAGCCUGCGAUAUGCCUCGGGGAGUCGGCAACCAGACUGUGAUCCGGGGAUUUCCGAAUGGGGAAACCUGGCACCCGUCAUGGGGUGUCGCCGCCGGUUGAAUGUAUAGGCCGGUUGGUGGGAACGCGGGGAAGUGAAACAUCUCAGUACCCGCAGGAAGAGAAAACAAUAGUGAUUCCGUGAGUAGUGGUGAGCGAAAGCGGAUGAGCCUAAACCGUGCGCGUGUGAUAGCCGGCAGGUGUUGCGUGUGCGGGGUUGUGGGAGCAUCCGGAUCUGGCUGCCGCCGGGUCGAGGAGUUAUAAACCGCUUGGGUAGUUGAACGGCUUGGGAUGGCCGACCGUAGACGGUGAGAGUCCGGUAGACGAAACUCAUAGUGGCUUCUGGGUGUUUUCCCGAGUAGCACGGGGCCCGUGAAAUCCCGUGUGAAUCUGCCACGACCACGUGGUAAGGCUGAAUACUUCCUGAUGACCGAUAGCGGACCAGUACCGUGAGGGAAAGGUGAAAAGUGCCCCGGUGAGGGGUCGUGAAAUAGUACCUGAAACCGUGUGCCUACAAGCCGUCAGAGCGUCCCCAACACUUUCGGGUGUUGUUCGUGAUGGCGUGCCUUUUGAAGAAUGAGCCUGCGAGUUAUGGUGUGUGGCGAGGUUAACCGGUGUCGGGUAGCCGUAGCGAAAGCGAGUCUGAAUAGGGCGCCGUGGCCAUUUCGGUGGUCGGGUAGUCGCAUGCUGUAGACCCGAAGCGGGGUGAUCUAGCCAUGGGCAGGGUGAAGCGCCGGUAAGACGGUGUGGAGGCCCGAACCCACCAGGGUUGAAAACCUGGGGGAUGACCUGUGGUUAGGGGUGAAAGGCCAAUCAAACUCCGUGAUAGCUGGUUCUCCCCGAAAUGCAUUUAGGUGCAGCGUCGCGUGUUUCUUGCCGGAGGUAGAGCUACUGGAUGGCUGAUGGGCCUGACCGGGUUACUGACGUCAGCCAAACUCCGAAUGCCGGUAAGUGAGAGCGUGGCAGUGAGACUGCGGGGGAUAAGCUUCGUAGUCGAGAGGGAAACAGCCCAGAUCAUCGGUUAAGGCCCCUAAGCGUGUGCUAAGUGGGAAAGGAUGUGGAGUUGCUGUGACAACCAGGAGGUUGGCUUAGAAGCAGCCACCCUUGAAAGAGUGCGUAAUAGCUCACUGGUCAAGUGAUUCCGCGCCGACAAUGUAGCGGGGCUCAAGCACACCGCCGAAACCGUGGCACUCCAGCGUUUCGUUGGGGUGGGUAGGGGAGCGUCCUGCAAGCCGGUGAAGCCGUCGGGUGACUGUGCGGUGGAGGUUGCGGGAGUGAGAAUGCAGGCAUGAGUAGCGCAUCACACGUGAGAAUCGUGUGCGCCGGAUGACCAAGGGUUCCUGGGGCAGGCUGUUCCGCCCAGGGUAAGUCGGGACCUAAGGCGAGGCCGACAGGCGUAGUCGAUGGACAACGGGUUGAUAUUCCCGUACCCGCUGGUAUGCGCCAACGCUGAACCCGCUGAUGCUAACCGCCCGAUCCCGCUUUGAGACCUUCGGGUCUUGGAACCGGGGGAGCGCGGGGCCCGAGGUGGUAGUAGGUGAGUGAUGGGGUGACGCAGGAGGGUAGCUCAGCCCAGGCGGUGGUUGUCCUGGGGUAAGCAUGUAGCCCGUGCCAUAGGCAAAUCCGUGGCACAUCAGGGUGAGGUGUGAUGCCGAGCCGUUUUAGGCGAAGUGAGUGAUCCCAUGCUGCCGAGAAAAGCCUCUAGCGAGUGUACCGGCGGCCCGUACCCUAAACCGACUCAGGUGGUCAGGUAGAGAAUACCAAGGCGAUCGGGUGAACUGUGGUCAAGGAACUCGGCAAAUUGCCCCCGUAACUUUGGGAGAAGGGGGACCAUUCCUGGUGAACACCUGUGCGGUGGGAGCUGGGGGUGGUCGCAGAGGCCAGGGGGAAGCGACUGUUUACUAAAAACACAGGUCCGUGCGAAGUCGUAAGACGCUGUAUACGGACUGACGCCUGCCCGGUGCCGGAACGUUAAGAGGACCGGUUAGAGGGACUUGUUCCUUCGAGGCUGAGAAUCUAAGCGCCGGUAAACGGCGGUGGUAACUAUAACCAUCCUAAGGUAGCGAAAUUCCUUGUCGGGUAAGUUCCGACCUGCACGAAUGGCGUAACGACUUCCCCGCUGUCUCGACCACAGGCCCGGCGAAAUUGCAGUACGAGUAAAGAUGCUCGUUUCGCGCAGCAGGACGGAAAGACCCCGGGACCUUCACUAUAGCUUGGCAUUGGCGUUUGGAGCGUCUUGUGUAGGAUAGGUGGGAGACUGUGAAGCUGGUACGCCAGUACUGGUGGAGUCGCUGGUGAAAUACCACUCUGGUUGUUUUGAGCGUCUAACCCGCGCCCGUGGAUCCGGGUGGGGGACAGUGCCUGGUGGGUAGUUUAACUGGGGCGGUUGCCUCCUAAAGGGUAACGGAGGCGCCCAAAGGUUCCCUCAGCCUGGUUGGUCAUCAGGUGGUGAGUGCAAGGGCACAAGGGAGCUUGACUGUGAGACGGACGUGUCGAGCAGGUGCGAAAGCAGGGCCUAGUGAUCCGGCACCGGCGUGUGGAAGCGGUGUCGCUCAACGGCUAAAAGGUACCCCGGGGAUAACAGGCUGAUCUUCCCCAAGAGUCCAUAUCGACGGGAUGGUUUGGCACCUCGAUGUCGGCUCGUCGCAUCCUGGGGCUGGAGUAGGUCCCAAGGGUUGGGCUGUUCGCCCAUUAAAGCGGCACGCGAGCUGGGUUUAGAACGUCGCGAGACAGUUCGGUCCCUAUCCGCUGCGCGCGUUGGAGAAUUGUGGGGGUCUGUCCCUAGUACGAGAGGACCGGGACGGACGAACCUCUGGUGUGCCAGUUGUUCCGCCAGGAGCACGGCUGGUUGGCUACGUUCGGCAGGGAUAACCGCUGAAAGCAUCUAAGCGGGAAGCCUUCCUCGAGAUGAGUUCUCCCACCCCCUUGGGGGUGUAAGGCUCCCAGUAGACGACUGGGUUGAUAGGCCGGGGAUGGAAGCACCGCAAGGUGUGGAGUCGACCGGUACUAAUAGGCCGAGUGGCUUGAGCAC
rnacentral:rRNA from 2 species